rnacentral:rRNA from 1 species
UACGGGGGGGGCAAGCGUUGUUCGGAAUUACUGGGCGUAAAGAGCUCGUAGGCGGUUUGUCGCGUCGUCCGUGAAAACUUGGGGCUCAACCCCAAGCUUGCGGGCGAUACGGGCAGACUUGAGUACUGCAGGGGAGACUGGAAUUCCUGGUGUAGCGGUGAAAUGCGCAGGAUAUCAGGAGGAACACCGGUGGCGAAGGCGGGUCUCUGGGCAGUAACUGACGCUGAGGAGCGAAAGCGUGGGUAGCAAACAGG